ensembl:lncRNA
GCUAACUUGCCAUCGGGAGCAACUUGGGGUUCAGUGUCUUGCCUAAGGACACUUCGACAUGUGGAGUCAUGUGGGCCAGGAAUCGAACCGCCAACCCUACGAUUAGUGAAUAACCCGCUCUACCACCUGAUCCACAGCCGCCGCUUCGUUUGAGACACGUGAAGCUCAUGCAUACUUGAAGGAAAGUGCAAUCAACCCUCUUCCACAUACAUGAGCUCACAGACACCUAUGAUUGGGUCGUGUCACCCUGAUUGAUAGAUCUUCAUGAUCUACCAAUGAUAGGCCGAAUGAGUUUCAAGGAUGAGCAUGCGUGGCUUCUGCUUGGUUGGAAUGGAAACCCGCACCCACACCGGCCCUUUACGGAUCAGAUCGGACACCCCUGGUCUAGACGAUCCUUCCAGGAUUUUGUGAUCGCAGAAAUGAACGCAAAUAAUCAAGAGAACACCACAAUAUUCUGCGGAGCGUGCGAUUUUAAAAAAUCACCGCAGUGUUUUCGGCAGAUCCGGGCUGAGAUGCAUCACGUGACAUCAUCACAACACACGUUCAGCCAAAGCCCUCUUCGAUUCACGUGCGUCGAACAUGAGUACAGCUCAAAAGUCUCAUUUACCGACAAACAUCACAUUUACCGACCGACCCUGCAAAACAAUUCCGUGUGAUUGCGAUUUUCAAACCCCCCCCCAAAAAAAACGCCCCCUCAAGUCGUAAUUCCUACUCGGGAACGCUGGGGUUCCUCCGAGUUCAGCACGUGACGUUGAAUCAACAUGGCCGCUCACUGCGUCGACAGUAAACACAGCAGCAUGUCUUCCCUCUACAUGAGUUUCACUGUAUAUACAAGUAUUUCCUUCACAUCAAUCAACAUACAGACAUUCGCUUGUGAAAUCACAACGUAUACUUUACACUUCACUGUUUCGUGGACGGAAAUAUACAUCACUCUUCACAGUUAUCUGGAGAACUUGUCACUCGCACCGUAGCUCGAGGCUCGGAAGUCGAAAAUCACGCCGUUCCGAGCCUGUAACUCAAACGCAGAAUUAGUCUCCUAUCUCUUUUCUCACUCUUUCUUUCUUUUCUUUUUUUUUUUGUUUUGUUUUGAACGUACUUGUGGAGUAUGUCGCAUGAUGACCGAGCGCAGCUUAGCAUACGAUGGGAAAUGGACACAGGGACUCGAGAAGGAUAAGGAGCGUGAGGAAGCAUUUAAAAGCCACAUGUGUGCCUAAAUCAGCUCAGACAUAUGGAGCCUUUCCUCCCAGGGGAACGGCAACAAACCUGAACAUGUGCCACAAAUGCGCAUCUGUGCGUGUUUGUGUGUGUGUGUGUGUGUGUGUGAGAGAGAGAGAGAGAGAGAGAAAGAGAAAGCUCUCAGCAGGCAAGUGCAUGUGCUGCCAUAAGUAUCCACUUGUGCGUCAAUGAACAAGUGCACAGACUUCCAUAAAAGGUGUGUCUAUGUGUGUGUGUGUGUGUGUGUGUGUGUGUGUGUGUGUGUGUGUGUGUGUGAGCUCACUGUAGGCAAGUGUUUCUGCUAUUGCACUGAUUUCACACAGCCUGUAUAUAUCACCUGACACACUAUCCAUCUGUUUUUUCCUUUCUGAACCUGUCUCACUGUCUCAAAUGUGAUUUAUUUAUUUUUGCACGAGGUUUUUUUUCCCCUUCAGUUUCACUGUAUUUAUAUUAUAAAUAUAUCAUACAAUUAUAAACAAUAGGAACAAAAAUAAAACUGUUUGAGUCUGAUUAAGAUCACUUGCAUUUGUGCUUUAUCGUCUCAGUAUUGUGUCUGUGCGUGUGUGUGUGUGUGUGUGUGUGUGUUCUCUUUUUUUCAAAGAAGAUAAACUUUAUAUUAGAGUAAAACGUUUAUUGACACAGAUAUAAGAAUGAACACUGACGAAUCGGGGGGGAAAAAAAACAAUAUUUUAAAUAAAGUUCACGUUCUUAAAGAACCCGUGCCAGAGAACCAAGACAGAGUUAUAGUUAUAACUCUCAUAACUGCGUUAUUAAGUGUAAGAAGUGUAGAAUUCUUAUAGUUCUUAUAUUGAUCUUUGUACAGUUUUAUAAUAUAGGAAAUAUAGUUUUAAAACUUGCAUUAAAUUUUAAAAAAAAUUAUUAUUUUUUUUUUUACAUUUAUCUGCUACACCAAAUAACAAUCCAGUGUGCUGAGGAAUUUGUGCUCGAUUUUAUUGCUUAAAAAUAAAAAAAAACAAUAAUUGCACAGUGAACAACCUAAAGUACCGUCUAAAUAUAUUUCAUUAAUAUUUAAAAUGUUAGUAUUAUUACUAGUUAGUAACUAGUAUUAUUUAUCAGCUAGACAGAUGUCUAACAGGGUUAGUAGGUCGUAUUUGGGGGAUUUAAGAUAAGAUGGCUGCUCACUUCCUG